rnacentral:rRNA from 1 species
CAUGCAAGUCGAGCGGUAACAUUUCUAGCUUGCUAGAAGAUGACGAGCGGCGGACGGGUGAGUAAUACUUAGGAAUCUACCUAGUAGUGGGGGAUAGCACGGGGAAACUCGUAUUAAUACCGCAUACGACCUACGGGAGAAAGGGGGCAGUUUACUGCUCUCGCUAUUAGAUGAGCCUAAGUCGGAUUAGCUAGAUGGUGGGGUAAAGGCCUACCAUGGCGACGAUCUGUAGCUGGUCUGAGAGGAUGAUCAGCCACACCGGGACUGAGACACGGCCCGGACUCCUACGGGAGGCAGCAGUGGGGAAUAUUGGACAAUGGGGGCAACCCUGAUCCAGCCAUGCCGCGUGUGUGAAGAAGGCCUUUUGGUUGUAAAGCACUUUAAGCAGUGAAGAAGACUCCAUGGCUAAUACCCAUGGACGAUGACAUUAGCUGCAGAAUAAGCACCGGCUAACUCUGUGCCAGCAGCCGCGGUAAUACAGAGGGUGCAAGCGUUAAUCGGAAUUACUGGGCGUAAAGGGAGCGUAGGUGGCUCGAUAAGUCAGAUGUGAAAUCCCCGGGCUCAACCUGGGAACUGCAUCUGAUACUGUUGAGCUAGAGUAUGUGAGAGGAAGGUAGAAUUCCAGGUGUAGCGGUGAAAUGCGUAGAGAUCUGGAGGAAUACCGAUGGCGAAGGCAGCCUUCUGGCAUAAUACUGACACUGAGGCUCGAAAGCGUGGGUAGCAAACAGGAUUAGAUACCCUGGUAGUCCACGCCGUAAACGAUGUCUACUAGUCGUUGGGUCCCUUGAGGACUUAGUGACGCAGCUAACGCAAUAAGUAGACCGCCUGGGGAGUACGGCCGCAAGGUUAAAACUCAAAUGAAUUGACGGGGGCCCGCACAAGCGGUGGAGCAUGUGGUUUAAUUCGAUGCAACGCGAAGAACCUUACCUGGUCUUGACAUAUCUAGAAUCCUGCAGAGAUGCGGGAGUGCCUUCGGGAAUUAGAAUACAGGUGCUGCAUGGCUGUCGUCAGCUCGUGUCGUGAGAUGUUGGGUUAAGUCCCGCAACGAGCGCAACCCUUGUCCUUAGUUACCAGCGGGUUAAGCCGGGAACUCUAAGGAUACUGCCAGUGACAAACUGGAGGAAGGCGGGGACGACGUCAAGUCAUCAUGGCCCUUACGACCAGGGCUACACACGUGCUACAAUGGUAGGUACAGAGGGCAGCUACACAGCGAUGUGAUGCGAAUCUCAAAAAGCCUAUCGUAGUCCAGAUUGGAGUCUGCAACUCGACUCCAUGAAGUAGGAAUCGCUAGUAAUCGCGGAUCAGAAUGCCGCGGUGAAUACGUUCCCGGGCCUUGUACACACCGCCCGUCACACCAUGGGAGUUGAUUGCACCAGAAGUGGAUAGCCUAACCUUCGGGAAGGCGU